rnacentral:rRNA from 1 species
ACUCAGGACUGAGGCGCAGCCUGAUGGAGCACGCCGCGUGUGUGAUGAAGGGUUUCGGCUCGUAAAACACUGUUGUAAGAGAAGAAUGACAUUGAGAGUAACUGUUCAAUGUGUGACGGUAUCUUACCAGAAAGGAACGGCUAAAUACGUGCCAGCAGCCGCGGUAAUA